CCUACGGGAGGCAGCAGUGGGGAAUAUUGGGCAAUGGAGGAAACUCUGACCCAGCGACGCCGCGUGCGGGAUGAAGGCCUUCGGGUUGUAAACCGCUUUCAGUAGGGAAGAAGCGAAAGUGACGGUACCUACAGAAGAAGCACCGGCUAACUAUGUGCCAGCAGCCGCGGUAAUACAUAGGGUGCAAGCGUUGUCCGGAAUUAUUGGGCGUAAAGAGCUCGUAGGUGGUUCGUCACGUCGGAUGUGAAAAUCUGGGGCUCAACCCCAGACCUGCAUUCGAUACGGGCGAUCUAGAGUGUGGUAGGGGAGACUGGAAUUCCUGGUGUAGCGGUGGAAUGCGCAGAUAUCAGGAGGAACACCAAUGGCGAAGGCAGGUCUCUGGGCCAUUACUGACACUGAGGAGCGAAAGCGUGGGGAGCGAACAGGAUUAGAUACCCUGGUAGUCCACGCCGUAAACGGUGGGCACUAGUUGUGGGAACCUUCCACGGUUUCUGCGACGCAGCUAACGCAUUAAGUGCCCCGCCUGGGGAGUACGAUCGCAAGAUUAAAACCUCAAAUGAAGUUGACGG
rnacentral:rRNA from 1 species